rnacentral:rRNA from 1 species
GACGAACGCUGGCGGCGUGCCUAACACAUGCAAGUCGAACGAGAAUCUUUGAACAGAUCUUUUCGGAGUGACGUUCAAAGAGGAAAGUGGCGGACGGGCGAGUAACGCGUGAGUAACCUGCCCAUAAGAGGGGGAUAAUCCAUGGAAACGUGGACUAAUACCGCAUAUUGUAGUUAAGUUGCAUGACUUGAUUAUGAAAGAUUUAUCGCUUAUGGAUGGACUCGCGUCAGAUUAGAUAGUUGGUGAGGUAACGGCUCACCAAGUCAACGAUCUGUAGCCGAACUGAGAGGUUGAUCGGCCGCAUUGGGACUGAGACACGGCCCAGACUCCUACGGGAGGCAGCAGUGGGGAAUAUUGCGCAAUGGGGGAAACCCUGAUGCAGCGACGCCGCGUGGAGGAAGAAGGUCUUCGGAUUGUAAACUCCUGUUGUUGAGGAAGAUAAUGACG